UUAUUAUUAUUAUCUUUUAUUUAUAUAGCGCCAACAGUUUACGCAGCGCUUAAUACAAUACAUAAAUUCAAGGGAUAUGACAAGACAAGAAUUGACAGACUAAGACAAACCGAUACAUUUGGUGGAGAGAGCCCUGCUCGCAAGCUUACAAUCUAGAGGGAAAAUGGGGUGAUAAACAUAAGGCAUAGAGGGUAUUGUGGUGGGAGUAUCGAUGACAAGGAUGUUCUAGCAGCUAAGAUGGUAUGCUUCUCUGAAGAAGUGGGUUUUUAGAUGUUUCUUGAAUGUCGGGAGGGAGGGUGAAUUCUGAAGGUUCCUUGGGAGCAGAUUCCAGAGAUAUGGGGCAGCUCGAGUGAAAUCUUGUAGACGGGAAAA